GCAGAUCAUGGCAAUUGAAUGUCUUUUGAAUCUGAUCAAAGACCCAGAAACAAGAUAUAGAGUUCUCGAAACCUCUGUUUUUUCUCUUGUUGAUUUGGUAGAGCUUGAAACUGGAAUUGAUAGAAAGAAACAAAAAUUGGGAGACAUUUUAACACGAGCAUUGUUGCAAGAUUAUCACAAAAUCAAAUACGGAAAUCAAAAGCUUUACAGUGAAAGAGCAACGAGAGCAUUAGGGGAACUUUGGGAUUUGAAAGUUGAGAAGAAGAGAAAAGAGAAAUUAAUGUCAGAGAAAGAGAUGAAAAAGAGGAAACUCUUAGUGGGUAUUCUCAAAAAACAGGGGAAUCACAAAUUUAGAAUUGGAGAAAUUGAAAAGGCUGCGAUGAAAUACACAGAAGCUUUGAAUAUAAGCUUACCGAAAAUGAGAAAACAGAGGCUAGUACUCCAUAGCAACAGAGCUCAAUGUUUUCUUUUGGUGAGGGACCCAGAAGCCGCCAUUAGCGACACGACUCGAGCUCUGUGUUUGUCGAAACAGGGGAGUCCUCACAUGAGAAGCCUA
rnacentral:lncRNA from 1 species